AUGUACCACGCGUACGCUAAGGUUCUGGGCGCGCCGUCCGUGCCACCUGACAGCUGCUCGCUACGCUUUGUUAGCC
rnacentral:sRNA from 1 species